rnacentral:rRNA from 1 species
UCCGCAGGCGGGCAAUUAAGUCGGAGGUGAAAUCCCACAGCUCAACUGUGGAACUGCCUUUGAUACUGGUUGUCUUGAGUUAUAGUGAAGUAGAUAGAAUAUGUAGUGUAGCGGUGAAAUGCAUAGAUAUUACAUAGAAUACCGAUUGCGAAGGCAGUCUACUAACUGUAUACUGACGCUAAUGGACGAAAGCGUGGGGAGCGAACAGGAUUAGAUACCCUGGUAGUCC